GCACAACGUACAGUCAUUAUCAACAGAGACACACGUGACGAGGACGGAAAGCAGUGCGCUUAACAAACUCAACUACUCUGUGCUGCUGGAGCUGGCAUCAUAAGGCCGUUUGAUUUGAAACCAGCGCAGGAAGAGCUGCUCCUACUGAGCAGAUAAAAGUUCCGCUUCAAACACGGAACUCAGUCUGCAACAUCCAGCCGACGGUUUUAUCACACUCGAAGAAAUGAAGAAGCACGACGAACCCCGCGUCUCAACCUGCAAUGUGCCAAACCUGUGGUUCCUCUACAACAACUGGAGGAAGAACCUGAGACACCUGAGACACAACCUGAGGCAAACAGAGGCCCAAAAAUGCUGCACAGAACAACAAGACUGACUUUACAGAAUGAAGCGACUCACUGAACCAGAGCAAGAAGAGCUCACCCCUGAACUGGACAUGUGUGCAUCAUCUCCAGAAGACCUGUCCAAAGAGGUCGAGGAUCUAAGGAAGGAUAAACAGGAAUUAUGUGUCCAAAGUGACUUUGGGUUAGAGCGGGUUGCUGGCUCCGACCUCUGUCCACAUCAGUUCAAUUAUGUAGCUUCUGAUAAAUAUGUACCCAGUGUAUUUUUCAUGUUCAUGCUUUGGUAUUUAAGAAAUAUCUUAAUGUUAUAGAUGAAAUAUAGAAACAAAUAUUUUAUUAAAGGACUUUUGUCUACAUGUGAGCAAAGUACAGUGGCUUGCAAAAGUAUUCGGCCCCCUUGAACUUUUCCACAU